rnacentral:rRNA from 1 species
GAUGAACGCUGGCGGCGUGCCUAAUACAUGCAAGUCGAGCGAACGGACGAGAAGCUUGCUUCUCUGAUGUUAGCGGCGGACGGGUGAGUAACACGUGGAUAACCUACCUAUAAGACUGGGAUAACUUCGGGAAACCGGAGCUAAUACCGGAUAAUAUUUUGAACCGCAUGGUUCAAAAGUGAAAGACGGUCUUGCUGUCACUUAUAGAUGGAUCCGCGCUGCAUUAGCUAGUUGGUAAGGUAACGGCUUACCAAGGCAACGAUGCAUAGCCGACCUGAGAGGGUGAUCGGCCACACUGGAACUGAGACACGGUCCAGACUCCUACGGGAGGCAGCAGUAGGGAAUCUUCCGCAAAGGGCGAAAGCCUGACGAAGCAACGCCGCGUGAGUGAUGAUGGUCUUCGGAUCGUAAAACUCUGUUAUUAGGGAAGAACAUAUGUGUAAGUAACUGUGCACAUCUUGACGGUACCUAAUCAGAAAGCCACGGCUAACUACGUG